rnacentral:rRNA from 1 species
GACGAACGCUGGCGGCGUGCUUAACACAUGCAAGUCGAACGGAAAGGCCCUGCUUUUGUGGGGUGCUCGAGUGGCGAACGGGUGAGUAACCCGUGAGUAACCUGCCCUUGACUUUGGGAUAACUUCAGGAAGCUGGGGCUAAUACCGGAUAGGAGCUCCUGCUGCAUGGUGGGGGUUGGACAGUUUCGGCGGUUGGGGAUGGACUCGCGGCUUAUCAGCUUGUUGGUGGGGUAGUGGCUUACCAAGGCUUUGACCGGUAGCCGGCCUGAGAGGGUGGCCGGCCACACUGGGACUGAGAUGCGGCCCAGACUCCUACGGGAGGCAGCAGUGGGGAAGAGUGCACAGUGGGCGGAAGCCUGAUGCAGCAACGCCGCGUGCGGGAUGACGGCCUUCGGGUUGUAAACCGCUUUCGCCUGUGACGAAGCGUGAGUGACGGUAAUGGGUAAAGAAGCACCGGCUAACUACGUG